GAUGAACGCUGGCGGCGUGCCUAAUACAUGCAAGUCGAGCGAACAGACGAGGAGCUUGCUCCUCUGACGUUAGCGGCGGACGGGUGAGUAACACGUGGAUAACCUACCUAUAAGACUGGGAUAACUUCGGGAAACCGGAGCUAAUACCGGAUAAUAUAUUGAACCGCAUGGUUCAAUAGUGAAAGACGGUUUUGCUGUCACUUAUAGCUGGAUCCGCGCCGCAUUAGCUAGUUGGUAAGGUAACGGCUUACCAAGGCGACGAUGCGUAGCCGACCUGAGAGGGUGAUCGGCCACACUGGAACUGCGACACGGUCCAGACUCCUACGGGAGGCAGCAGUAGGGAAUCUUCCGCAAUGGGCGAAAGCCUGACGGAGCAACGCCGCGUGAGUGAUGAAGGUCUUCGGAUCGUAAAACUCUGUUAUUAGGGAAGAACAAAUGUGUAAGUAACUAUGCACGUCUUGACGGUACCUAAUCAGAAAGCCACGGCUAACUACGUG
rnacentral:rRNA from 1 species